AGAGCGAACGCUGGCGGCAGGCUUAACACAUGCAAGUCGAGCGCCCCGCAAGGGGAGCGGCAGACGGGAGAGUAACACGUGGGAACGUACCUUUCGGUUCGGAACAACCCAGGGAAACUUGGGCUAAUACCGGAUACGCCCGCAAGGGGAAAGAUUUAUCGCGACAGGAGGGGCCCGCGUCGGAUUAGCUAGUUGGUGGGGUAACGGCCCACCAAGGCAGUGAUCCGUAGCUGGUCUGAGAGGAUGAUCAGCCACACUGGGACUGAGACACGGCCCAGACUCCUACGGGAGGCAGCAGUGGGGAAUAUUGGACAAUGGGCGCAAGCCUGAUCCAGCAAUGCCGCGUGAGUGAUGAAGGCCUUAGGGUUGUAAAGCUCUUUCGCCCGCGACGAUGAUGACGGUAGCGGGAGAGAAGCCCGGCUAACUUCGUGCCAGCAGCCGC
rnacentral:rRNA from 1 species